rnacentral:rRNA from 1 species
UGGGGAAUUUUGGACAAUGGGGGCAACCCUGAUCCAGCAAUGCCGCGUGUGUGAAGAAGGCCUUCGGGUUGUAAAGCACUUUUGUCCGGAAAGAAAACGUCGUGGUUAAUACCCGUGGCGGCUGACGGUACCGGAAGAAUAAGCACCGGCUAACUACGUGCCAGCAGCCGCGGUAAUACGUAGGGUGCAAGCGUUAAUCGGAAUUACUGGGCGUAAAGCGUGCGCAGGCGGUCCGCUAAGACAGAUGUGAAAUCCCCGGGCUUAACCUGGGAACUGCAUUUGUGACUGGCGGGCUAGAGUAUGGCAGAGGGGGGUAGAAUUCCACGUGUAGCAGUGAAAUGCGUAGAGAUGUGGAGGAAUACCGAUGGCGAAGGCAGCCCCUGGGCCAAUACUGACGCUCAUGCACGAAAGCGUGGGGAGCAAACAGGAUUCAGAUACCCUGGUAGUCCACGCCCUAAACGAUGUCAACUAGUUGUCGGGUCUUCAUUGACUUGGUAACGUAGCUAACGCGUGAAGUUGACCGCCUGGGGAGUACGGUCGCAAGAUUAAAACUCAAAUGAAUUGACGGGGU